CCUACGGGUGGCAGCAGUGGGGAAUAUUGGGCAAUGGAUGAAAGCCUGACCCAGCAACGCCGCGUGAAUGAAGAAGGCUUUCGGGUUGUAAACUUCUUUUGACAGGGAAGAGCAGAAGACGGUACCUGUCGAAUAAACCCCGGCUAACUACGUUCCAGCAGCCGCGGUAAUACGUAGGUGGCAAGCGUUGUCCGGGUUUACUGGGUGUAAAGGGCGUGUAGCCGGGCUGACAAGUCAGAUGUGAAAUCCGGGGGCUCAACCCCCGAACUGCAUUUGAAAAUGUUGGUCUUGAGUACAGGAGAGGCAGGCGGAAGUCCUAGUGUAGCGGUGAAAUGCGUAGAUAUUAGGAGGAACACCAGUGGCGAAGGCGGCCUGCUGGACGACAACUGACGGUGAGGCGCGAAAGCGUGGGGAGCAAACAGGAUUAGAUACCCUUGUAGUC
rnacentral:rRNA from 1 species